ACUGUCCCUUGAGGCGUUGCAGGCAUGGCUGCUGUGUCACGUGAGCAUCAGUAGGUGGCAGGGAGGAGAGAGGCUAUGUCUACCCUCAGUGUUCUGACUACGAACAUCUGAAUGAUUAGUAGCCUAGCAUU